rnacentral:rRNA from 1 species
AGUGAACGCUGGCGGUAGGCCUAACACAUGCAAGUCGAACGGCAGCACAGUAAGAGCUUGCUCUUACGGGUGGCGAGUGGCGGACGGGUGAGGAAUACAUCGGAAUCUACUUUUUCGUGGGGGCUAACGUAGGGACACUUACGCUAAUACCGCAUACGACCUAAGGGUGAAAGCAGGGGAUCUUCGGCCCUUGCGCGAUUGAAUGAGCCGAUGUCGGAUUAGCUAGUUGGCGGGGUAAAGGCGCACCAAGGCGACGAUCCGUAGCUGGUCUGAGAGGAUGAUCAGCAACACUGGAACUGAGACACGGUCCAGACGCCUACGGGAGGCAGCAGUGGGGAAUAUUGGACAAUGGGCGCAAGCCUGAUCCAGCCAUACCGCGUGGGGGAAGAAGGCCGUCGGGUUGUAAAGCCCUUUUUUUGGGAAAGAAAAGCAGCAGGUUAAUACCCCGCUGUUCUGACGGUACCCAAAGAAUAAGCACCGGCUAACUUCGUG